AAACUAUGAUGAGGAUACUAUCUUAAUAAACCUUUGAAUCUAACUCAUGCUUCAGAUAGUGAUUCUCCAUCUUCCUGAGCAAAAUUUGUAAUGCAAUUUCUCAUGUAC